rnacentral:rRNA from 1 species
GUGGGCUUUGCCUGCUAUCUCUUACCCAUGUCUUUUGAGUACUUACGUUUCCUCGGUGGGUUCGCCCGCCGAUUGGACAAUUUAAACCCUUUGCAGUUGCAAUCAGCGUCUGAAAAACAUAAUAGUUACAACUUUCAACAACGGAUCUCUUGGUUCUGGCAUCGAUGAAGAACGCAGCGAAAUGCGAUAAGUAGUGUGAAUUGCAGAAUUCAGUGAAUCAUCGAAUCUUUGAACGCACAUUGCGCCCCUUGGUAUUCCAUGGGGCAUGCCUGUUCGAGCGUCAUUUGUACCUUCAAGCUUUGCUUGGUGUUGGGUGUUUGUCUCGCCUUUGCGUGUAGACUCGCCUUAAAACAAUUGGCAGCCGGCGUAUUGAUUUCGGAGCGCAGUACAUCUCGCGCUUUGCACUCAUAACGACGACGUCCAAAAGUACUUUUUUACACUCUUGACCUCGGAUCAGGUAGGGAUACCCGCUGAACUUAAGCAUAUCAAUAAGCGGAGGAA